GUUAAAACACGCGUUCUCAUACGAUCACCGAAGUUAAGAAACGUCGAGACUUGUUAGUACCUUAAUGGGUGACCGCUUGCAAAUACCGGAUGC